GACGAACGCUGGCGGCGUGCUUAACACAUGCAAGUCGAACGGUAAGGCCCUUCGGGUACACGAGUGGCGAACGGGUGAGUAACACGUGGUGAUCUGCCCUGUACUUCGGGAUAAGCCUGGGAAACUGGGUCUAAUACCGGAUAGGACCAUGGACUUCACGGUUUGUGGUGGAAAGCUUUUGCGGUGUGGGAUGGGCCCGCGGCCUAUCAGCUUGUUGGUGGGGUAAUGGCCUACCAAGGCGACGACGGGUAGCCGGCCUGAGAGGGUGUCCGGCCACACUGGGACUGAGAUACGGCCCAGACUCCUACGGGAGGCAGCAGUGGGGAAUAUUGCACAAU
rnacentral:rRNA from 1 species